GACGAACGCUGGCGGCGCGCCUAACACAUGCAAGUCGAACGAGCGAGAGGAGGUUUACUUUCUCAAGCGAGUGGCGAACGGGUGAGUAACGCGUGAGGAACCUGCCUCAAAGAGGGGGACAACAGUUGGAAACGACUGCUAAUACCGCAUAAGCCCACGACCCGGCAUCGGGUAGAGGGAAAAGGAGCAAUCCGCUUUGAGAUGGCCUCGCGUCCGAUUAGCUAGUUGGUGAGGUAAUGGCCCACCAAGGCGACGAUCGGUAGCCGGACUGAGAGGUUGAACGGCCACAUUGGGACUGAGACACGGCCCAGACUCCUACGGGAGGCAGCAGUGGGGAAUAUUGCACAAUGGGGGAAACCCUGAUGCAGCGACGCCGCGUGGAGGAAGAAGGUCUUCGGAUUGUAAACUCCUGUUGUUGAGGAAGAUAAUGACGGUACUCAACAAGGAAGUGACGGCUAACUACGUGCCAGCAGCCGCGGUAAAACGUAGGUCACAAGCGUUGUCCGGAAUUACUGGGUGUAAAGGGAGCGCAGGCGGGAAGACAAGUUGGAAGUGAAAUCCAUGGGCUCAACCCAUGAACUGCUUUCAAAACUGUUUUUCUUGAGUAGUGCAGAGGUAGGCGGAAUUCCCGGUGUAGCGGUGGAAUGCGUAGAUAUCGGGAGGAACACCAGUGGCGAAGGCGGCCUACUGGGCACCAACUGACGC
rnacentral:rRNA from 1 species